rnacentral:rRNA from 1 species
GAUCCUGGCGUCAGGAUGAACGCUGCGGCGUGCUUAACACAUGCAAGUCGAACGGGGACGACCCCCAAAGGAGUUUUCGGACAACUGCGGGGAAUGCCUAGUGGCGGACGGGUGAGUAACGCGUGAGCAACCUGCCUUGGAUGGGAAUAACAGAUGGAACAUCUGCUAAUACCGCAUGAUGCAGUUGGGCCACAUGGCUCUGACUGCCAAAGAUUUAUCGCUCUGAGAUGGGCUCGCGUCUGAUUAGCUAGUUGGCGGGGUAACGGCCCACCAAGGCGACGAUCAGUAGCCGGACUGAGAGGUUGGCCGGCCACAUUGGGACUGAGACACGGCCCAGACUCCUACGGGAGGCAGCAGUGGGGAAUAUUGGGCAAUGGGCGCAAGCCUGACCCAGCAACGCCGCGUGAAGGAGGAAGGCUUUCGGGUUGUAAACUUCUUUUCUCAGGGACGAACAGAUGACGGUACCUGAGGAAUAAGCCACGGCUAACUACGUG